ACGGUGUGGAAGCGCUGCAAGGCGUUGAGCUAACGUGUACUAAUGGCCCGUGAGGCUUGACCCUA
rnacentral:rRNA from 1 species